UCAGCUCAUAGUGUUGCCGCACAAGUGAAAUUUAAUUUAAGUUCGUUGCGACGAAGUUUCGUUGGCUACGGCCAAAAGGUUAGGGCCACGCUUGGUUAGCCAGCAGGCUACAGGCAGUGAUACAGCCAGCAAAACUGCUCAAGACCCUCACACUCGUAGUCGCAGUCCCACUCGCACUUAAUUGUGUAAUUGUGGUUAUUCAAGAACCUCCCAAGAACACGGCGUGGCCUUGACAGCAGCACUCAGACACGACACACAAAUCCCUGUCCCAUUCCGAGAUGCCACCGCCACUUUGCAAGUCAUAUGCAAUUUUCGAAGAAGAUAUCGGAUCGAGAUGCAUUCUGGCACUUGGCUGUUCAUUUUUGAAAACUGCAGCGCACAGUGGGAAGCAACUCAGGGAACUUGCAAUAUCGGAGCCAAGAUGGGAGGACUGCCUUUCCUUCUUUCCUCCUCUUCGAACCUCUUACAAAUAUAAAUAAACCAAAUAACCACACUGA